UGUUUUUUUUUGUGUGUGUGGGAGUCAUUGGGAUUUCAAUCAUAAUCGUGUCAUGUGGCUUUGGUGGUAAGACUAUCCAUAGUGGUGCAGAAAUAAUACAGCCUUAGUCACCUUACCUCUCUCCACGUAGUACGUUGGGUCCCACCAGUCAGAGGGUGAAACAAACAAAAUAAUAAGAAAAAUUAAAAGUGCCAGCGGUGUAUCUUACCUCACACAUCUCGCUACUGCUCGGGAACACUGUCCAAUUGAUCCCUCUGUUCGCUCACGUACUAUUUUAAGUGAAUCCUUAUUAUAACAUGCACACAAAUUUUGGGCACUUGUAUUCGACUUAAGUCAGUGUGCCACCGUAUCUCAUAUACUUACUACUCCCUCCGUCUAGGUGUAAUAAGUCACGUUAGAAGGUGCAAUGGGACCAAGGUGCGUGUGUGUGCAUGUGUGUGUGUGUGUUUAACAGCAUGUGUGUGUGUUAGAGAGAGCGACAGAUCGACCUACUCCUACAGAGAGAUGUUGUGUAGUGUACGAUUUUAGCCGCGAGAGUCGGUGCAUCCUCUCGUUUCCGGGCGUGUCCGGUAGGGACAUGCGGACAGCUGCCACGCCCGCUCCUGACCAGCCUGGCCCACCCAAAGCCCCUCCAUCGCCCGCGCGCGCUUCCUGCCCGAAACGGUCAGCGCCGCUCCAAAGAAUCGGUGCCGCAUUCAUGCCCAGGCAGAGCGGACGCGACCUCUCACUGGCGCAAGAGUGAUGGUUGCUUCGUCCGUCCAACUUACUGCUGGGUCUACGUGAUUUGACGGCUCAUUGGUCUUUAUUACUGAGGUGGUAGGACUGCUGGAUGUCCCACGCUUUCGGCGAAAGGAGGUACUACUACUACUAGAUUACAAUUUUCUCCAUUCUUACAGCGGAGGCGUGCAAGAGCAGUGAAAACACGCAGGCUCAAUGAUUACAUGGCCCACCUCACACUAUCACCGUGCGACACCUAACUCUUUACAUAGUACUCCCUCCGUUCCUAAAUAUUACUAGAUGAGUCCCCGCGCGUUGCCGCGGAACAGCGGUAUAUCUCUCUGCGCAAAAUUAACAAUUUCAUAGAACUAAAAAAACUCUAUAGCUGCAUGACAAAUGUGGUAGCCAAACUAAAUAAACUCCCAUCAUCAUUUAGAUCAUCCCAUGUAAGGAAAAAAGAUCAGCCAACCUCUACUGCAUAAUGGGAUUAUAUUUUUCUUUUUGACAUGUUAAUGGGACUUAAAAGCUCACUUACAUGCAUGCUACCGGUGCAUGCUUGCAUGCAGACAUGUUGAUGUGAUUUAAAACCCACUCACAUGCAUGCGCCACGGUAUUUCUGCAUGCUUGCAUGUGGCUUAGUGCGGAGCCUCUCAACGUCUAGAUCAGACGGGUAUUAUGGACUGAUUUACUUCAUCUAACGGCUACAUCAAUUUUGAUGAUGUGGCUCAAGGAGAGGAUAGAGAAUUCCUAGUAGUGGGGGCUAGCUAUUACUAGUAGAUAAGUCUUUGUAGAGAUUCCACUACAUACGGAACAAAAUGAAUGAAUCUACACUUAAAAUGCAUCUAUAUACAUCCGCAUGUGGUUCAUGGUGAAAUCUCUACAAAGACUUAUAUUUAGGAACGGAGGAAGUACUAAUAUAGUACGUACUGUAAUUUAUCGGCGAGAUAAAUUUGUACAAUGCUAUGAAGCUUCCAGCUUCUGUUACAUGUAUCUUGCGUCCAAGGUUGCCCGUUGCAACAUUUCAUCAAAUCCAAAGGAGACUAACAUGCAUGCUAUUGCAUCUCAAUGAUUGACAGAUCAUAGCAAAUAUGUACUCCCUCUGUUCCAAAAUAAGUGUCUCAACUUUGUGCAAACUUUAGUACAAAGUUGUACUACUACUAAGUUGAUACUUAUUUUGGAACAGAGGCAGCUAAAGAAAAAAACGAUCCAUGCAGUCCCUAGCCCUUGAACCGUGAACCCUGACCAGGCUUCAAUUUGCUGGCAACGUUCGAGCUUCCUAAUAAAUGAAGUUUGCAACCUUUUGACCAUCGGAUCAUUUUGUGCAGUUUCACCAAAAUCGAGAUGAGCAUCCCUGUGGCAAAGAAAUUGAAGAAGCGUGAUUAGAAUAAGAUUACUGGGACUAGUUGAUGAGACAUAAACUCAUCACAAAUACAGUACGUAGAAGCCAGUAGAGGUAUGUGCAGGGCAAAGAAGUAGAGAAAUAUCCACAGGGAGUGAUGUGGGCAGCUGGAGCAGUGGUGCAAGCCGGCUGUAAAGGGAGUUGUACCUGAGGGACGUAGCUCAACCUUGAGGAGGGCGGCGGGAGGCGGCAACUGCCCACGUCGCGGUAGUGAGCAAGGGACGAAGGCAACCUCACCGGCUUUGUGAGAGAGAACGGCGGGGACCCUUGAUCGGGACAUGCCGACAGUGGGUUUUCGCCGUCGGUGACGGCCACCGCAUCUACACUAAGCAUCCACCCCUUCCCCAAGCGGACGUGAUCCGCCGGGAUGUUAGAGAUGUGGCCACAGUCGUUUUGUGCGAGAGAGUGUGAAGAGAGCAACCUCAGCAAGCAACCGUGUAGGCUGGCCCGUCCUGACUAUGUAUAUAGUGGAGCGGUUUCCUUUUCUCUCCAUAUGAACCUAUCAUAUUGCGUACGUGCCACUGAAGAAAAAAAACUUUAUUUAUAAAUGACGCAGCACCUACGACUCGUUCUCCUAUAAGCUUGCGCUUGGCAUCUCCAAAAUAUUAACCUUGCGAUUGGUUCUUCGCCUCUUUGGGAAGUCGAGCAAUAAUGGUAGUGCAGUAUAUAUCGUUCUGGCUAUAUGAGACCGAAUGAAUUGCUCCACGUCCACCACGUGGGCGAGGGUCGAGGGGCGAGGGAGAGUGCUAUAUACGGAGCAAAAUGAGUGAAUCUACACUCUAAAAUACGUCUAUAUACAUCAGUGUUUGGAGUAUGUACUAGUAGUUCAUAUUGAAAUCUACUAAAGGACAUAUAUAUUCCAAACAAUAUGAUAUAAUCUCUAUAACCAAGGUAGUAGGGACGAGGAGUAAACGGAGGGAGUAGUAAAUUUUUCUCCUCGUCCUGCGAGCCACCGCGCGCAUGGGCGAGGGAGCGGGCGUAAGGCGGAGCAAGCUUCACCUCAUCCUGCGAGCCACCGCGCCCGUGGGCGGGGGAGACGGCUUACUAAGCAAGCUUCUCCUCGUUCUGCGAGUUGAGGGGACACAUCAAAAGUACUCCAAUGUAUAGAGCCUUGCCUCUAAGGUAGGCCCCACAUGGUUUGCCUCUUUUUUUAACAUAACACGUCAAGUCGCAAUUUGUUUGUUCACCCGUGGUAGACGAUCCUCCCUCCACCAAGUGGACAACCAGUACACGUGCCAAAUUACCACGUGGGCUGCCUUUUUCGUACAGAAAUGAGCUCCACCAUGUACCCGCGCGGGUGUGGUUGGGAAAGAGACGGGAGUACGUGCGCCGUGCAUGCACCUCUUCUCUUCGUGCACGUCCCCCACCUACGUGGGUGUGUGUGAGAGAUACAAACCGCGUUCGUGAGUGUUUUUUGUUUUGGGGUGGGGGUGGGGUGGGGGGUUGAUUUCGUGAAUUAUUUGUGGGAAUAUGUGUCGAUGACAUCUCAAACAAAAUUGUGCAUGCAAUGUGUGUGAAAUGGAGGCCUAUCCAUAUCAUACAUAGAGGGUCGGGCAAUCCACGAGAAGAGAGGGAGCGGUCAUAGCUAUCGAUAGAGUCAAAGAGAGGAUCAAGUGGGUGGGUGCGAGAUCGAUGAAGAGAGCCAUCGAAAUUGUGUGUGUGUGCAAGUUAAAGAUAUAAGGCGACUGGCCUACCGGAACGUUAGAGGGCACAUGUCAAGUUUGUGUGUGGCAGGGAGACAUGACUNNNNNNNNNNNNNNNNNNNNNNNNNNNNNNNNNNNNNNNNNNNNNNNNNNNNNNNNNNNNNNNNNNNNNNNNNNNNNNNNNNNNNNNNNNNNNNNNNNNNNNNNNNNNNNNNNNNNNNNNNNNNNNNNNNNNNNNNNNNNNNNNNNNNNNNNNNNNNNNNNNNNNNNNNNNNNNCGGUGUGUGUGGGGGGAGGGGUGGGGGGAGGGGUAGGCAAAGGCCUAACUAUAGAGGUAGAACGACUCGUAUAUGUGUUGAGAAGGAGAGACCCAGCUAUGUCUUGAGGUAGAUCGGUCGACAUCCAUACAUAACUGAAGGAUGGGAAAUACGAUGGGAUAGAGAGAGAGAGGAGAGAGAGGGAGGGAGAGGGAGGGAGAGGGGUAGAGUGCUGGAUGGGUGAUGGAGUUGCUUCUCGAAGAUGGUGGGAGAGGCCUACUAGACAAACUGAGGGUGGAACUGCAAUGUUAUCAAUAAGAGUGGGGAUGUGUUUCUGUGUGUGCCUGUGCGUGAUAGAUCUGUCGGGACGCAUCCAUGGAUGAUGAAGGGGAACCAUGUGUUUGGUAAGCAAACCUAACUAGAUCGGUAGAUCAAUUGUUGUUUGUCGGAGGAAGGGAGAGACACAACUAAUGAGGUAGAUCGAUUGACGUGUGGGUAAAAAUGAGUUAUAAGGACCUAGCUAGCUAUAUGUAUAGCGAGAGAUCGGUCGGUGUACGUCCAUCUGUUAGAGGCAAAUAAGGCCCAGCGAGACGGAUAGACAGAGAGAAUGGAGCUAGGAGGUGGUGCGAGAGGCCCAACUACAUGCUAGAUAGGGGGAGGAGUGUGCGGUUGUGAGAUCGAUGAAAAGAGGGGCGAGAGUUUACACGUGUGUCUGACCGUAUGAGAGACACGAGGCAAGGACACAUAAAGGAGGAGAUCGAAGGUGUGUGUGUAUGUUGUAGGCAGGCAUCGCUGGAGAGGUUUAUCGAUCGGUGUGUGUCGGAAAGGAGUUGUGGAGACUCUGGGAGAACGACCUAAAGAAAAAAAAAUGAAUGUGCCCGGUGGAUAGAAUGUCGAGGGAGGGGGAGGGCGAGGAGGGCGUGUGCAUGCACGAGAGAAAGUUAGUGGUAGCUACAAAGGUUAGAGGAUUGUGUGGGUGUAAGAGAUUAACAAAGAUCAUAAUUUGAUAUGAAAGCGGAUUCAUAUAUUUGAAUAGGAGAUCAUAGUGUUUUAAACAUUGCAUGCAUGAAUAUAGCGGUGAUACACGUGUUGUGCACAUGUUAUACCAUAAUGUGAUAAUGCAUGGCGUUUGCAACUCACAGCUAAAUGCCGAGCAAUCUAAACCAUACUAUACAUCAAACAAUCUCACAUUUUAUUUGAAUUUGUGAUAAUGUGUGGCGUUUGCAGCUUACAACUAAAUAUCGAACAAUCUAAACAAUACUAUAUAUCGAACAUUCUCACAUUUUAUUUGAAUUUGUGGUAAUGUGUGGUGUUUGCAACUCACAUCUAAAUACUUGUAGGCGUAGGGGGCGGGGCACCAUACAUAAUGUGAUAAACACAUUAUACAUAUGAGACAUGGUUUAGAUUAUGAAGAUCUAGCUAGAGCUAGAAAUGUAAUGUGAUUUGAAAUCAAAAUAAAGUGGAUUCAAAAAAUCUAGUUCCAGUUCAUAUAGUACACAUAGUUCAUAUGUAACUCAAGACUAAUCAUGUGGUGUGCUGUGAAGAUAAUACACAAACGAUGGUUUAACUUGACAAUAAUGAUGAUUGUAGAUCUUAUUAAAACAGAUAAACGAAUUCAAAUGCUUUGACUUCACAACAAUCAUUACUGUAGAUCUUAUUCAAAUAGAGAAACGAAUUCAAAUUUAGUUCAUAUUGAAGCGGUAGUAUAUACGUUUGGAAUGCACUAAAACGUUCAUUUGAGUAGUAGGUUGCAUGCAUUAUACACGUAGCGAAAUAUUUUAAUUGAACAUAACAUGAAUUCAAAGUUUUGAAUGUAAUUUGUAGUGCGCAUUGAUUUGGUACAGUACACGUUAGGCUUGUUCGGAAAUUUCAACCCGCGCCUUGUUGGCCCGAAAUAUUUAAGAUAUAUCUUUGUCUCGUUGUGCUCCGACAACUCCCUCCAUCUCAACCCGCGCCUUGCUAUUCCGAAAUUACAACGCGCGCGAAAACUCCCACCUCCUGUGAAAUCCCGACACGCGAAAUGCCCGUGGUACCCCUGAACCGAAAGAACCGCCUCAAAUCGGUGGGGGUACUUUCGUAACUUACCCCACAUUUCGGACAAGCGCGUCUCUAAGUCAUGGUUCCCCACUGCCAUCCCAUCCGCGCACCCAUUCGUACACCGAGGCCGCGAAAACCCGCGAUGAAACCCCACACCCUGCUCCGUCCGCCACCCAGCCGGAGCCUCUUCCCCGACGACGUCGUCCAUAGCAACACCUCGACGUCCCUCAUCCAUCGUACCGGAUGAGGAUCCGUCGUCGAUCUCAUCGUCCCACCGAUUCAGCCACCCCGUCCUCCACCUCCAAGGAGCUGCCCCGACGUUCCCCUCGUCUUUCGCGCCACCUCCAUUCCCACACCGCCGUCUUCACCUGCACUACCGGAAGAGCAUCAUCAUCACCGUUUCCUCGGAUGAAGCUGCGGCCUAAUUGGCGCCACCAAAGAGCUUGUACACUAAUCGCCGCAUUUUCUUCUUGAUUCGAUCUCACGGUGCUGCCGGCGCUCGGUCCCGAGCCGACACGGCGCGGCUCCAUCCAUGGCGGCGUCGCCGGCCACUUCCUCCACGGCGUCGCUCCCUCGGCGGCGACGUCCACAUCAGUAGGAGCUGCUGCUGCUUUAGCUCUUGCUCGCGCUGCUGCUCUGCUCUUGCUCUCGGUCCCCUGCCUGGUCUGCUCUUGCUAUUGCUCUUGCUCGUGUUGCUGCUCUCGCUCUUGCUCUUGCUUGCGAUGCUGCUCCGAUUUAGCUACACUUCAGUCGACUGAAUCGACUUUUGGGUCAGUCGAUUUUCAGGGGGUGGGGGGGCUCGCCGGGGUGAAGGAAGAACCAGCCGCAGCGGGGAGGGGGCUCGCCGGAGAGGUACCCCACUAUCUAUCUUAGGGUUCAGGAUGGGGGCGGUGGUCGCCGGCGGUGGCGGGGCGUUGGCGGGGCGGUGGCGUGGGGAUCGCCGGAGAAAAAGCUCGGCACGGGGGGGCCUAGAGGGAUGGUCGGGGCGGCGGCGGACCGGCAGUGGGGAGUGUUUUCGAGGCGGGCAGGGCGGCGCACCGCCGGCCGUGGGCGGCGGGGGGCUGCUGUUUGGCCGGUGGUGGCUGGCGGCUCAGGGGGGUGGAGGUUGAAGAUGAACCGCAGGCCCUUGAUUUCAUAUCCAACGGCUGCAAAAUCGACUGACCAGAGAUGAAAAAGUCAGUCGACCGACGUGUAGCCUCACCUUGCUAGUGCGUUCAGUUUCGACAACAAAAUUCAGUUUCGACAGUUAAGUUCAGUUUUGAUAGUUAAGUUCAGUUUCGACAGUUAAGUUCAGUUUCGACAGUUAAGUUUAGAGAUGUGCGGCUGAUGUAUUUUACAUCUAGCACUUUGUGGUUAUGUAUUUUACGUCAUGUAUUGGAGAUGCUAUUAGAAUUCCACCCAGGUUAACAUUGUUCAUUGUCUCUCUUGUCCUGCUUCAGCCUCGGCGUCGUACAACUCACCGGAGCUGCUCCAACGACGAAACCCUCCAUCACAGCGGAGCAGUACCUCGGGCUCCAUCUCCAGACGCCUAAGAUCUUCUUCCCCUCCUCCGACAGCAAAGUCAGCCGGAGCAUCCUCACCGACCAACCCAAUCACGCUGAGAUCGACAUGGCUUCGCCAAAGAGGUUGUACACUUGUUGCAUCUCUUUUUUACUCUACAUGUUAUAUAUAUUGUCCACUGAGCACACGGAUUUGUUCCUUUAGUGUCUCCUUGAAAGAAAAAACGUAAGAAUUUUAAUUUUCACUUGUCCUCCUUUUCAAAUUCCUAUUCAUGAAGCACAAGACUAAGAGAUAGUAGCAUAAUAGCAUUAUAACCGUACAUUUUCUUGUGGUUUGACUUAAUCUCACCAUGCUUCUUUGCAUCCUGUGAUCUUCCAAUUGUUGUGAAUCAAACACCCAGAUUGGCAGAAAUCCUGUGUUUUUAAAUUCUCUGUUUUGCACGUGCAUUCCUAUCCUAUUCCUGUCUAUUUCCUAUCCCUGCAUUGUUGGAAUCCUCCAAUUCAAACGAGCCCUUACAGAAUUACUUCUCUUACAGAUAGUUGUCAAAGAAAACCUUGCGUGGUUUGUCCCGCUCCUGUUGCGCCGUCGUCCACCCCAGCUCAGAUGCUCCAACGAGUCCAGCACAGCAGGGAUCCGGCCUCCAGACUGUCUUUCGCCGCCUCAGAUCUUCUUCCCCGCCGCUGGCAGCCAUGAAAACUGCAUUACCAUCAUCAACCGAGCAGAUGACCUCGAGGACUACACGGGUCCGCAAGAGAGGUCGCACUCUUUCGUGUCUGCUUACGUUAUGCAUCGCUUAAUAUUACAUGCUACUUUAUCGUCCUGUUCACCGAUUAGACUCUGAGUCAGCUCCAAACUAAUGGUCAAACCUGAGUUUUUAAAUGGUUGUGGGGUACAUAUCGGGGCCGCUAUCAAUAGUAUCUAUCUACUAUCUGGUUAUUCUCCGGUGUCUACUAUGAGUUUCAUGUUGGGUGGGAAACAAAUAGUAAAGAAGCCAUUAUCUGUAUUUUUUAACUAAAGCCAUUAUCUGCCUGCUAUUAUUGGUUUUGGGUCUAUCCACAGGUUGCUACCAUCACUCUGGAUUUCUGCAUGCACUCCUUACAUAAUCUCACUAUGUUUUAUUCCUAUGCAUGACAGUUAUUGUAAACAAUGGAACUGAACAUGUAGAGCAAAAGAGACGAGCCUUGCGUGGCAAUAAAAUUUCAUGCAGACGUCGCUCCAUGGUAGGCGCAAAGGCAGCCCCCCUCCACGCAUUUCGGAUUGUAAUCGAGAGGAAGAUAUCUAUUCUGAGGGGGAUUCAGAAGGAGAAGACAACUCCUAUUUACCCCCUGAGGUCUUCGCUCUAACUUGGCAUGCUGAUGUUGGUUAUAUCAUGCAUAUGGUGUCUUGCAUUGCUUACUUUAUAGAUCAAAUAUGUCAUCUGCUUAGUUUAGACAUCCUUUGUGCGAAUGCCAUCUGUUUAGUUUAUUCAUCGUUUAUGUGAAUUAUGCAACGCCAUCUUGUUUAGCCAGGCAUCAUAUAUGUGAAUUUUGCAAUGCCGUCCUGCUUAGCCAGUCAUCUUAUAUGUAAAUUAUAUCAGGCCAUCAUUUUUUUCGUUACAUAUUACAUUUGUCAACAAUGUUAGUACAUUCAACUGCUCUUCGUGUGCAUCAGCCAUUUGACACGGUGAUGGCAAAUUCUGGAGUGAAAACAAGGUCUUCAGAGCAGACUAUGCUAUCUGACGAAGCGCAUAUCUCGUUGGUUACGGAUAGCUCCUCAGGUGUAUGCUCUAACUUGGCAGGGUUAUGUUGCUCAUAUCGUGCAUAUGGUGUCUCGCAUUGCUAUGUCAUUUGAUUAGUUUAGACAUGCUUUGUGUGAAUGCCACCUGUUCAGUGUCUAAUUACCAUAUAUGUGAAUUAUGCAUUGCCAUCUUGUUGCAAGACAUUAUAUAUGUGAAUUAUACAAUGCUAUCUUGUUGCAAAGGCAUUAUAUAUGUGAAUUAUGCAAUGCCAUGCUGUUUAGCCAAUCAUCAUGUAUGUGAAUUAUAUCAUGCUAUCAUUUUUUUGUAUUACGUGUUCCAUUUGUCGACAACGUUUGUAUAUUCAACUACUCUUCCUGUGCAUCAGCCAUUUGAAGCGGUGAUGGAAGUAUCUGGAGUGAAAACAAGGUAUUCAGAGCAGACAAUGCUAGCUGUUGAAGCAGACAUCUUGCUGGUUACAGAGAGCUCCCCAGAGGAGGAUUCAGAGACUGAUGACCAGUCCUAUUUCCCCCCUGAGGUCUAUGCUCAAACUUGGUAGGGUUAUAUUACCCAUGUCAUGCAUGUUGUCUUGCAUUGCUUAGUUUUUACAUCAUAUAUGGAUUGCCAUCUGCUUACUUGCUUACUAUAUAAAUCAUAUAUUUGAAUUAUAUCAUGCCAUCAUGUUUACAUAGUACAUACACAUCAUCUAUCUGAAUUAUGGCAUGGCAACCCAUUUAAUAAAGACAUCAUAUAGUUAUAUCAUCUCAUCCUGUUUAGUGUUUACAGUCAUCAUAUUUUGAAUUAUGGCAUUCUAUCCGUGAAUGUAUGUGAAUUAUGGCAUGCCAACCUAUUUAAUAAACAUAUUAUAUAGUUAUGUCAUGUCAACCUGUUUACAUAGUCUCAUAUUUUGAACUAUGUCUUUCCAUCUUUUUUAGUUAGCCAUCAUAAUGUGAAAUUGUGUCAUGCUAUCCUGUUUAGUUAGCCAUCAUAUAUGUGAAAUUGUGUCAUGCUAUCCUGUUUGGUUAGACAACAUAAAUAUGAAUUAUUUCAUGCCCUCUUUUAUUCCCCACUAUCCAUUGCACCUGUCUAUCAUACAAUGUCUAUACUUUCAAUUACUUUUCUUGUUUAUCAGCCAUUUGAAUUGGAGAGCGUGAUGGCAGUAUCUAAGGGAGUAACAACGCGGUCUUCAGAAAAGAUAGUGCUACCAGUUGAUGCAGAUAGAAUCACGGUUGUACUUGCCCAAGGACCAGAUCCACCACGCAUAACCCAGACUCUCGCAGAUUGUACCCCUACCCAGUUGGACAGAGAACCAGCUACACCCCUUUUAACCCCAACCCCGGCAGAUAGUAACCCAGUUCCAGUUGACACACCAUCGUCUCCACCACAGAGCACCCAAACACGAGCAGUUAGUAAGGGAACUGCAGUGCCCAAAGCACGAGGACCACCACUCCGAAUCCCAACUCAACGCUUAAAGGAGAAGAAGAUUUGUUCUCAGGUCAGGUUCUGUAGCUAUGGUUCAUACUCCUUUGCUCUUGCAUUACUGUAUUUACUCAUACCAACUAUUUUCAAAUUUAAAGGAUGGAAUUGAAACUCCAAUGGCGCAACAGGUAUGUUUUAAACCUGUUUCUUUAACUGGUUUGCUGUUGUAACCUGCUCUAUGUUGAUUUCAGUUUCAAUUGAAUAAACAGUUAUGUUCUCAUGUCAUGCACAUUACAAGUGUUGUUAUUGCUCUAUAGUUACCCACACUUAUAUUCUGUCUAUUCUGCUUUGUCUUGAACAAAUAUUAUUUGAACUGUGUCUCUAUCUUGAUUUGGCAACAAAAACUAGAAUGAUAUAGACCAUAAAGUGACCGUGGUACAUAGAUAUAUGUUUGUUUCAUGUUAUUAUCCUGUCCACUUUACUACUGAACUCAUUUACCAAAAUGAGUUUCAUAUACAACAUGGUAAACAUGUGAUGUGUCUGCUUGUUUCUCUUUUAGAAUGCGGACAAAAUAUUGGAGAACAGUACCGCGUUAUCCAAUGGUAAAGGUUGUAAUGCAGAUAUGGUUCAAGAUAGUGAGACAUUCCUGUUGGUCUCCAAGAAAGCUGAUAAAAACUAUCUUGACGACAGUGAGGGAACCCAAAAGUUCUGUCUUGAUGUAGUGUUCGAGUUACUGGCCACUACUGCUGGCACAAGCUCUUCGAACUCGCUGCCUGAAUCAGUUCGUCUUCUUGAGUCUCAACUUCAAGUUGAAAGACAUCGAUCAUAUGUGCUGCGACAGGAAGCUGAAGGACUGAGGAAGUCCCUGCAGAAUUCAGAUGCAUAUUUUCUGGUGCAACAGCAAGCGCUGGAGGAUUUAAGCGCCAAACAAGAAAAAGUUAAUAAGCUUGCUAAGCAUCUUGCCAGCAUUAUGGGUACCCAGGAUAUUGUUUCUUGAGAUCUUCUGAAGUGGUUUCAGUUCUGGAUUUGUUUUGCUGCGGCGUUUAUUUGCGCUGGUCGCCAACUUUGACAACCGGUGUAUAUGAUAUGCUGCUUUGUUCCCUAUAUUUGCACUGGUGGCGAACUUUGAUGCCCAGUGGAUGUAAUAUGUGUAAUAGCCGUGAUAGCCUAGCGUUAGUUGCUUGCUUAUUUAUUUCCUUGUUGUCUUGUUUAUUUGUUUGCUUGUAGUCAUUGCAGUUCUUUUUCCGCGGUUAGCUAGUGGCUGCAAUAACCUAUUUUUUAAAACUAGGCCACAAUAACCAUGGGCUAAUAUUUACUGUAGUGACACUGGGCCUCCUACUGGCCGUAGAAACAGUGGGCCUUCUACGGGCCGUAGAAACAAUGGGCCUUCUACAGGCCGUAGAAACAAUGGGCCUUCUGCAGGCCGUAUCAUCAAUGGGCCUUAUACGGGCCGUAUGAUCGAUUAGCCAAACAUGGGCCAAACAGACCGCAUUAUGGCCGUAAACGGGCUAGAGUUGGAAUCGUCCAUUCAUGGGCCGACCAUAACGGGCCAUCGUUAAUAGGCCAUAUUUGGUGAUGCUAUGAAAAUGGCCCAACAGACUAACGGUCCACAAACGGGCCGACUGUAACGACGGGCUGAAUUUGGCCCACAAGCAGAAAAUGACAGUAACGGGCCGUAAGUAACCGAAUGCUGCAAAUGAACCCAAGAAUAAAUGGGCCCUCAGAAGGCCGAAAGUUAACUUGGGCUGGAAACGGCCCAACGGAAUAACGGGCCGUUAAUGGGUAUAAAGUGAUACACUGUUCAUUACGGGCCAGUUUCACCACGGGCCGUUAAUGGGUGUAAAGUAAUACACUAUUCAUUACGGGCCAGUUUCAGCACGGGCCGCUAAUGGGCCAAGAGUUACAAAGGGCCUCAUAUGGGCCGAAAGACGUCAUGGGCUAUACAUGGGCCAGAAGUGAAAACGGGCUGGAAUCAUAUUGGAUGGCCCAGAUGACGCUACUGGGCCUAAUUCGGAUAGGGCGUAACGGGCCUUGGGUUAGCGGGUUGUAAAUGGGCUAUAUGCGAACAGGCCGUUAACAGGCUUUCCAUGGGCCGGCCCGCUAGCUUUUGACCAAGUCAAACGGGCCGGCCUUUUCACAGGAAUGGGCCACUGUUGGGCCAUGCCACGUGUCAACGUAUCAUAGGCGCCUUCUGUCCAGUGAGUGGAUGACAUCUGUCCCAACGAUGAGCCAACACGUGUUUCCUCUAGCCAAUGAUGAUUUUACACGUGGAAAAUCCCCAUUGGUCGGGGAUGUUAACGGGUUAUCGGAUCCAAAACCCGACCCGAUAGCUUAACGGCGUUCCGUUACGGUGGAUGCCACGUGUCGGUCACCCUUGACGAAAGCACUUCUGUGACGCGCGAUUUAUCGUCAAGGAAGUGGACACUUCCGUGAUGAUAAUUUUGGUAAUGUCAUGGAACACUUCUACGACAGCACAGGUAUGACUAUCUUGAUUCUGUCAUAAAUUUGUCAUGGAUGUACAUGCAUGACAAAAAACGCGACCUACUGUGACAAACAUGUAUCAUCACGGAAGUGUAUUUUUUUGUAGUGUAACGUGCAAGCGGUUUGCGCGAAAGAGAAAUGGUUCACCUUGCGGAGGCGCUCUGGAUAGGCUUUACCCAGUGACGCGUGGUGUAUGAAGCAAUUUUACUUAGCCUUUUGCGAGCUGGAAUGCUGCUUCAUCGUGGCAGGUCCGUGUUGGCAAGGCCGCUCGAGGUCUUGUUUCAUGAGGCUCCUGCGUAUUAGUUAGUUACGAAAUGCAAGGGGCGACACGCGCUUGCUGAUCUACCCAUGAUCGUCGUGUGAGAAGACGAAGGCACUAAGGACCUGGUGAGGUGACGUGCGCGGGGCCGGCCUGCGAGCCAAAGCUCGGUCUCUUAGAUUUAUUAGUGUUGCAGGGACGGACCCGAGCACAGGCGCCGUGCCGGUAGCCCCCUCUCGUGGGACGUUCAAGGGGAGAGCUGGCGACACGCGAAGCCCAUGGAGGCGACUCCGGAGGUGAUACAUCAUCAGGCGCAAGGUUAACAACCACAGUAGCUCAUGAAAGCGUAAUUGGUCCAGGGUAGAUGAAUCAAAAUGACAUAACUAUGGGGGCAGACCCUAACGGCUUGAGGGUAAUGCAGCCCGAGGGGCGCCCUCAAUCUGAACAAACCAAAAAGUCACCUGGCACCAGCGUCGUAGAACCGUCGAGGUAGCUGAAGAAACGUGCCACGGAAGCUGCUCCUCACGAGCUGGGCGGCUUCGGGGGCAUGGGGAGCUCGCGAGGGUGUGAUGCCUAUAUAAUGAUCAUUGCCUGGAUAUCGUCAUAAUUAUUUGAAGUUCUAUCAAUUUCCCAACAGUAAUUUGUUUACCCGCCGUAUGCUAUUUUUCUCGAGAGAAGCCACUAGUGAAAUCUACAGCCCCCGGGUCUAUUCUUUAUCAUAUUUGCUUUCCGAUCUAUUAUUUGCCACUUUUAUUUUCAGAUCUAUUAUUCCAAAAACCCAAAAUACCUUGCUGCAUUUUUUGUUAUUUAUUUUAUUUCGCGUUUCCACGAGAUAUAUUUAUCCAAUCUACUACAACUCAAUCUAUCUUUUACCCGAGAGGGAUUGACAACCCCUCUUACGCGUCGGGUUGCAAGUAUAUGUUCUUUGUGUGCAGGUACCGUUUACAUAGUGUUGCUUGGUUCUCCUAUUGGUUCGACAACCUUGGUCUCAUCAUUGAAGGAAAUACCUACCGUAGCUGUGCUGCAUCAUCCCUUCCUCUUCGGGGAAAAUACUGACGCGGACACGAGCCAUCAAGAAAGGAUUUCUGGUGCCGUUACCGGAGAGACAUCAUCAACAUGUAUCAGGUUCCUAAUCACAAAUCUCAUCCCCUUGAAAUUUACAUUAUUUGUCAUUUGCCUCUCGUUUUUCUCUCCCCCACUUCACAAAAAAUUGUUGUUUUAUUCGCCUUUUUCUUGUCAAAUCUUUUGUUUGCUUGUGUUGCCAUGUGCCUUCUAUAUGCUUGCAUCUUCGCUUGCUAAAAAUCUAUGGAUCCCCAUCCACUUUCUAAUCUUUUUAAAGAUCCAAUCAUGAUGAACCAAUUGCUAGUGACAAUACACCAAAGCAGGAGUAGGGUGUUACGCUGCAAAGCGGCCCGGAAAUNNNNNNNNNNNNNNNNNNNNNNNNNNNNNNNNNNNNNNNNNNNNNNNNNNNNNNNNNNNNNNNNNNNNNNNNNNNNNNNNNNNNNNNNNNNNNNNNNNNNNNNNNNNNNNNNNNNNNNNNNNNNNNNNNNNNNNNNNNNNNNNNNNNNNNNNNNNNNNNNNNNNNNNNNNNNNNNNNNNNNNNNNNNNNNNNNNNNNNNNNNNNNNNNNNNNNNNNNNNNNNNNNNNNNNNNNNNNNNNNNNNNNNNNNNNNNNNNNNNNNNNNNNNNNNNNNNNNNAGUCCUGACUUCUGACUGGAAGUACUCUACAAACUAUGCAUUUGUGUUGCACUUCUCAGGUUGCAUCAAACCGGUGUUUGCCAAGUUGGCAUGGAGCUCCCCAAAGUGCCAACUCUUUGACUAGCUGGUUGAGCAAGGAGAUGCCACACCGCCGACAACCGUAUUCAUCGAGGCUACACUAGCAACCCCACUUGACAACUCUGCCAGCGAUCCACGAAAUCCUCGAUGCACCUCUUCGCUUCAUGUACAUUUGCGUAGAAUCUUUGGCGCCUCUCGUCCUCAAGCGCGGUCGUGCUCCCUCACCCCUUCUAUUCAGGCUGAGCAUAAAACCUGAUACCCGGAUCCCAAACCUGAAAAACACGAACCCGGACCCGGACCCGAAUAACCCGAGCACUAAAUUAGGUAGCAGUAUUGAAAACCCAAAUUUUAUUGAGGAAAUUCGUGUUUAGAUCCACGGUACCCGAUUACCCAAAUAGCCCAAACUAACCAUCAUGCCCAGUAAAAAAAGUGAAGGCCCAAAAUAGCCACAACCCAGCCCAAAUUCCCCGCUAAACCCUAUUUCACUGUGUUCCUGUCCCAUUGCCUUCGACCGACGGGUUCUUGAGCCCCGAUCCCCGUUCCCAGCCGCCACGCCACGGUACCAUCGCCGCGCCGCCUAGCUCCCGGUACCGGUCAUCGCUCUCUGCUCUCCGCCAUAGACUCACGCCGCGCCUCCCAACGCCCGAUAACAGCAUCGGCCCUUCGCCACUGCCACACGGCAACACCGCCUGCUGCCCUACAUCGGGAGGCCACCGCCCUCAAAGUCAUAGGCCCCGACGCGGCCAGUCGACACUAGUUGCAUGUAGGCCCUAGCGCCGCCACCAGAUCCUACUCACCGCGUCACCCACGAGGACGAGGUCUCCACCGAGGAGACGGCAACGAGAAGUCCCCAUCUUGCCCGACACCGCGCCACCCACAAGGACGAGGUCUCCACCGAGGAGACCUUAUUAUUUUAUUAUUAAAUAUUAAAUAAAGGAUAGAGCUAUUCUUUUUUCUAGGCAACGAGAAGUCUCCGUCUUGCCCGGCGACACGAUGCGAGACAGAUGUUCUUCAGUUCCAUGUCUCCGUUCCCUUCACCAUGAUUUAUUUCGGGCAAAUCAGGAUUACCCAAAUCAGAACCCGGAUUUUUAACAAAGUUAAAUUUCAGGUGUCAUUUCUAAAAACCCAAAAUUUCUAAAACUCGAAUUUCUCCUGGUAGGAGCGCUCCUUGACUGACCUGCCAUCGAUUAGGCUUCCCUCGAGCGCUCCUUGACGAGCUUGAACAAAGAGAAUGCGAAAAGUUGGCGAGUGUUUGGACCACACUCCAGCUGCAUCACGAUCGUCUGGCCCGCACUUUAACUCGCACGGGUAGAAAGCGUGUUCAGGCUCCGGUCACUCACCCACUUGAGCCGAACUAAUUGUAUUGAUUGACAAAAUGUUUUCUUAUUUUUCCUGUUGCCCCUUGGGCUCUUGACGUGUACUCCCUUGUAUAUGAAAUGAAAGCAGUACUAACUGAAUUUCGUCAAUAAAAAAAUUAGCCAUUGCAGGCCAUGGGUGGGCUAUUCAUGCGAGGUUAUACCAUAAGACUGCCACUAUCAGCAUCAGAUACUCCUCCGUCCCAUAAUGUAAGACCUUUUUUAACACUAGUGUAGUGUCAAAAGGUAUCUUAUACUACAUCCGUCCGAAAAAGUUUGUCUCUUAAAUGAAUGUAUCUAGCACCAAGUUAAUGCUAGAUACAUCAAUUUUAGAAACAAGCUUGGGACAAGUUUUUUCAAACCAAGGGAGUAUAAUCUUAUAUUCCACAUUUGUUUGGUUGAUCAAAGGUUCGAAUUUGCAGGUCUGAAAAUUCUUUCAAAAAAGGAACAGUGCCUAACCUCUAUGUUGCAAUACAAUGACAUCGUUGCAACAAAACAACGCUGAUUAUAAAUACUCGUUGUAACUCUUGCAAAUGUAAAAAUAUGCCUGUCACCCAGAUGGAACAUUGCUUAGUAAGCGUUACAAUUCAAUAGGUAUAGUAUCAUCCUUGCACGCAUUGACCGGUGCCCAGCCACUAUACUUUUCAGAUGUCCUUUAUCCAAAGGAGCACUGCAUCAAACAAACCGUCCAUCAAUCUUUUGCAGAGGCAAGGCAGGUUUUGCAAUAAAGUGUUAAGUAUAGAAAAGAAAGAGCC
rnacentral:lncRNA from 1 species